UACGGAGGGUGCAAACGUUGCUCGGAAUCAUUGGGCGUAAAGCGCACGUAGGCGGCCUGUUAAGUCGGGUGUGAAAUCCCUGGGCUCAACCCAGGAAGUGCACUCGAAACUGGCAGGCUUGAGUACUGAAGAGGGUCGCGGAAUUCCCGGUGUGAGAGGUGAAAUUCGUAGAUAUCGGGAGGAACACCAGUGGCGAAGGCGGCGACCUGGGCAGAUACUGACGCUGAGGUGCGAAAGCGU
rnacentral:rRNA from 1 species